ACUUUGUGGUAGACUGUAUGGUUGCUAGCUAGAAUACGGCAGUAAACAAAGUCAGUGUGGUUCUUGGCAUCAUGGAACAUAUGGGCCAUUCUAGUGUCAGAAAGUUAGUUCUUAAAAAGGUGAUUAGGACAGUAACAAUAAAAGAAGACUGGAUAAACCCAUGAACAUACCUCAAGGACUCAGCAGGACACUGCAAAUAUCUAUUGAAACGUCCACUGACUGAUGAUAAAAACAAAGGCUUUUUUUAUUGAGGCUACAAAGAAGAAAAUGAGUGAAUAAGUCUCAUGAGAUCUGAUGGCUUUAAAGACGGGACUCUCCCUGCACAACCCUCUCUUUUCCUGCUGUCAUCCACAUAAGAUAUGGCUUGCUCAUCCUGGCCUUCCACCAUGAUUGUGAGGCCUCCCCAGUCAUGUGGAACUGUAAGUCCAUUAAGCCUCUUUCUCUUGUAAAUUGCCCAGUCUUGGAUAUGUCUUUAUCACCAGCAUGAAAACAGACCAAUACAGUAAGUUGGUACUGGGAGUGGGGUGCUGCUGAAAAGAUACCAGAAAAUGAGGAAGCAACUUUGGAACUGGGUAACAGGCAGAGGUUG
rnacentral:lncRNA from 10 species